CUCAGCCAACAGGACAAGAUGAAGCAGAACAGGAAAUAUGUAAAAGUGUCACAGGAUAAAGGAAGGACAGAAUGGGGGAGAGAGAGGAAAGGAAAGAAGCAAACAGGUAAAAGAAAGAGCACUCAUUGCUAAAGAAAACACAACCCCAAAACACAAAGCUUCCCAUUAUACCAGGAUUUUAGAAAAUGAUUAUCAGUGAACAGGGACUCAGAGAUGAAAUGAUAAAAUAAUACCAUAGAAAUUAAAGAUGUUGCAGAGCCAUCAAAACAUACCGAAGACAAACAUUUAUCAAUUUAGUGCUAAUAAAUAAAAUAAAAAGAGCAAGGAAAUGAGGACAUGUGGCUAGAUAUGAGAAGAUACGACUAAAAAUUGAACUGGGGGGACAACACCCAUGGCACAUGGAAAUUCCUGGGCCAGGGAUAGAAUCUGAGCCACAGCUGUGACCUACAACACAGCCGCAGCAACUCCAGAUCCUUGACCCAUUUUGGCAGGGCGGGGAUGGGAUCUGUGCUGCCACAGAGACAACGCCAGGUUCUUAACCCACUGCACCACAGCAGGAACUUUCUGAACUAUUGACAUUUUUUUAAAAAGACAAUUUAAUUCCAGUGAAUACAGCAGCGAAAGACAAAUGUAUUUUUUCAAUGAAGGAAAGAGAACAAGGAUGAAGAACUGAAAACUGCUGAUUCUGUAGAAAGAACCCCAAAACGGUCUAGAAACAUACUUCAGGUAAUGAUAGUAUGAGUUUUCCAUAACAUGAGGGAAGAACAGAUGGAAAUAAUAGUUAAAAACUGAUACAGAAUGAUCCGAAAGAAUUAUAUCCUUGAGUCACCGAAUUUGAAGUUUAAAAUAUUCUGCUGGUGUUCAGGCAGAAAAGAGCAAUUCAUUCAGAUGGCAGGGGGCUUGGGGAGGGUGUCAGACUAGCCUCACUGUUCUAUCAGGAACAUUCAAUGCCAAAAGAUAAAAGGCAUUGCCUACAGAUUUCUAAGUAGGACCCCAAGUUUUUAAAGCAAAAUAUCCUUUGACUAUAAAAGAAAUAUAUUUAAGCAUGGGGGAAGUCAGGGAAUACAGCAUCCAUGAGCCUUUCAUGAAAUAAACUAUUCGGUAACAUAAUCCGGUCAACUAAAUCAUUACCAUAGAAACUAUGGCAAAAGGACUACUUUCGCACUCAGUUUGACAAAGUGCUGAGGCAAAGUAUGACCUAAUAAUUUUUAUUAAAUCAGUCUUCCCUUAGAGUAUAAAUGCAGCUGUUUAACGCACCCAAACAUAUUAGGGAAUACAGGAUGUUACAAUAUUUUCUUACCAUUACCUGACAAUGAACUCUAAUUGCCCAAGAGAUAAAAUAAGAAAUAACUCGGAAUGAAAAAGCCAUGGCAAAGAACCAGCAUGAUCAAACUGAUUUAACUGAUGAACAUCAAACUGAUUUAAAUCUUUUGCUGCAUAACUAGUUGACGAACUUCUAAGAAAUCAGUACAGGUGCCCCAGUUUUCCAGAGCCUCAGGCAGAGAGCGUUACAAAGUCAAUAAAACUGGCUAACUGCUCUACUGAUUCAGUAAAAGGAAAUCUUGACACUUAAGAAUUGAAUUUUCAAUUGUAACAUGAUCACUGUAUGUUCACUGAAAAAAAUUAAUUCUUCCAUUAACAAGUGUUUGCAUCAAAAAAUCUAAAAUUCCAAUCAACUACAUGUUUAGUAUGUAAUACAAAAGUAACCUUACAACUCUAGAAAUCCAUUUAUCCUAAUAAAUUCAGAGUCUGAAAAGACAGAAGUUUAUCCUGUUUAUUCCCUCUCGAUUUUCUGUUAAUAUUUUAGACCUGCCAACAUUACCUGUCUAAAAUUACCUUUCAUCAUUUCAACUACUUUUUUCCCCUCUAAACACAAGAAUUUAAUAAUUAAUGCAUCUUACUUACAUAAUGCUUACUUAUAUAAUAAAACGAGUAAAAUCAGAUGAGUGAAUUCAGGGUUAAUACAUUUCCUUAAAUACAACCUGAAUAUUUUUUUUAAAAAAUAAUUUAUUGUAUGCCUUACAUCAUUUUUAUCUAUUUAUUUAUUUAGUCCUUUUAGGCCAGCACCCACGGAUAUGGAAGUUCCCAGGCGAAGGGUCGAAGUGGAGCAGUAGUUGCUGGCCUACACCACAGCCACAGCAACAUAGGAUCUGAGCCACAUCUGCGACCUACACCACAGCUCAUGGCAACGUUGGAUCCUUAACCCCCUGAGCGAGGCCAGGGAUCGAACCUGUGUCCUCAGUAAUGCUAGUCAGAUUUGCUUCUGCUGAGCCAUGACAAGAACUCCUAAAUAUUUCUUUUAAAAAAGAAACAGGUUUUCAAAAAGCAUCUUAAAGAAUUUCAAUUAAUCACAUCAAGGGGAAAAACAUCAAGAAUAAAAAGGAAAACUAAUAAAUUGUUAACUGUGACCUCAUAGUUAAUAAGAUAAAUGGAAGACAGACCUCUUUACAAGGUACACUAAUGGAAUUUAUUCAAAUACCUUGAACUGUAUUCUAACAUAAUGCAACAGGUAUUUUAUAAAAUGGCCCCAACAGACCUUUCUGUUCUAUCCUAAAUUAUUCAUUGCUUUCUAAAGUUAUACUCUUCUUUUCUCCCACUGUGUGACUGUUUGUAUUACUCCCUCUGCUUAAAUCAUUGUCUUUCACAAUUAUUCAAUCAUUAGCCAUCUUCUCUCUCUCUCUUUUUUUUUCUUUUUAAUGGCAUCCAUGGCAGGGACUGAAUCCGAUCUGCAGCUGUAGCAAUGCCAGAUUCUUUAAUUCACUGGCUAGGCCAGGAAUCAAACCUGCAUCUCCAUAGUGGCCUGAGCCACUGCAGGAGGACUCUUGACGCUCCAUGCCAUUAUUCUUCAAUGACCAUCUCACUUGAACAAGACUUUCCUGUUCUCUGGCCCUUCCCAGUGGGUUAAGGAUCCAGCAUUGCCAUGAGCUAUGGUAUAGGUUGCAGACACAGCUUGGAUCCCACGUGGCUGUGGCUAUGGCUAUGGCUGUGGCGUAGGCCUGUACCUGCAGCUCUGAUUCAACCCCUAGCCUGGGAAGUUCCAUAUGCUAUAUGCGUGGUCAUGAAAAGAAAAAAAAAAUCCCAUCAACAGUUUAUAUCUUCUUAACUGAAUUCCAUAACGUUACACCAUAGCCUUUUGUACUUAUUAUAUAUCAAUUCCCUCCAUACGUGAUCCUCCCACUUUUCUCUUUGCUUUCCACAAACACUGUUUGGCUGAUCUCAUUUACUCUGACAGCUUCAAGUGCCAACAAUUUUCCAAGUUCCUUACCCAGAACUCUCUCCUGAGCAACAGGCCCAGAUAUACCCACUCGAAAAUCAUAGGAAAUUCCAAUCUCACAAGGUUAAAACAUCUCACCGUGUUUUGCAAACCUGAUCCUCCCAGUAGCACCACUUGCCUAGCAGCCCAAGCCCUAUCUUGAUAUCGUUUCGGACUGCCUUCUUUUCUGCAACACCACAUACACUAAAUAAAUAAAUCUUCACUUCUUUACCUCCUAAGUAUCCUUCAAAUCCAUCCAUUUUUCUCCAUCUCCAUAACCAGCCCUAGACCUAGUUCAAAACAGCAGCAACAUCAGCCCUUUAUCUUGGUGGUCCACCCUUGCUUCCCAGUUCAAUCUUUUUUACAUAUACUAAAGAAUUCUUUAAAAUGGAAACACACAGUCACGAAAGCUUCUUUCCUAAACCUCUUCACAAACUCAUCACUGUUUUCACAACAAAUAUCAAACUUUUGGAGUGCCCAUUGUGGCUCAGGAGAAACAAACCCAACUGGAAUCCAUGAGGAUGCAGGUUCAAUCCCUGGCCUCACUAAGCGGGUUAAAGAUCUGGCAUUGCCGUGAGCUGUGGUAUAGUUUGCAGAUGCAGCUUGGAUCUGGCAUUGCUGUGGCUGCAGCAUAGGCCGGCAGCUGCAGCUUGGAUUCAACCCUUAGCCUAGGAACUACCAGACGCUGCAGGUGCAGCCCUCAAAAGACAAAAAAAAAUUUUUUUAAUCAUAAGGCAUUAUAAUUUGACUCCUCCUUCCCUCAAAGAGUUAUUAUUUCUCUUUAAAUCCUAUUAAUUCUUUUUUAACAGUUCUUCGGCUCAACCAUAAUCUUCUUGCCUAUGUUUUUUUCCACAGUUCUAACCUUUGUUUGGUAUAGCUGUAAUUCAUAUUUAGGUCUCAUUUAGCCAUUUCCAUUUUCAUUCAAAAAUCUCCACAAUACUUAUUGGACCAGAUCUAGGUGGGUGUCCCUGCCAUGCAAUGUCCCAGGACCAAAGCUUCUUCCACACAGUGUUUCUGUGCUGGUCUGCAUUUACUACAGAGCUCUGGGGAGGCAGGCAGGCAGGCAUAUACUAUAUUCACCAAACUCACCUGGCAUUGUGCCAGGUACACACUGAGUCAUCAAAAAAAAAAAAGUUGGAGUUCCCAUCAUGGUUCAGUGGUUAACGAAUCCGACUAGGAACCAUGAGGUUGCGCGUUCGAUCCCUGCCCUUGCUCAGUGGGUUAAGGAUCCAGCGUUGCCAUGAGCUGUGGUGUAGCCAGCGGCUACAGCUCCAACUGGACCUCUAACCUGGGAACCUCCAUAUGCUGCGGGAACGGCUCAAGAAAAGGCAAAAAGACCAAAAAAAAAAAAA
rnacentral:lncRNA from 1 species